UACGGAGGGUGCAAGCGUUAUCCGGAUUCACUGGGUUUAAAGGGUGCGUAGGCGGGUUGGCAAGUCCGUGGUGAAAUCCCCAGCUUAACUUGGGAACUGCCGUGGAUACUAUCAAUCUUGAAUAUCGUGGAGGUAAGCGGAAUAUGUCAUGUAGCGGUGAAAUGCUUAGAUAUGACAUAGAACACCAAUUGCGUAGGCAGCUUACUACACGAUCAUUGACGCUGAGGCACGAAAGCGUGGGGAUCAAACAGG
rnacentral:rRNA from 1 species